UUCUAUACGUCUAAUUAUGAAAAUCUUUACAAUAUUUUCUUUUUACAGGAAGAUCUGUUGAGUUGGAGCACGUUGACAUUUUCCAACAGCGUCACUUGCUGAAGUACAGUUGAGAAGAAUCCAUUUCCCAGCUCCGGAUGUACGGGAGAUUAUAUAUAGAGAUCUGACACCCAUCUCUAUUUGGCUGUUGAAUCUUGGCAACUGAGUCCAUUAACCCCAUAACGUCGUGUACUCCUGGAGUCUGCUUGAGAGCUGUAUGCUACUAGAGACAGCAGGGUUUACAAGAAACAGCACAAAUCAGGAAUAACUUCAAUGAAGUCUGCGGAAUUAAACUGAUCAUCGAAGACACGGAGGCCUGCUAGCUAAAUAUGGACAACAGAUUAUACAACAAAAGAAGAAACACACACAAGAUACUAGAAAAGAUUCCUGGAGCAGUGUAGCUACCACCAUCUUCCAGCAUAUGCACACACCUGCCAUAUAUACAUCCUCUUUGAGAUACUCAUGUAUGCAAGAAAACAAUAAACACAAGCCUUAAAAAAAAAGAAACAGAAAAAAGGAAAUCCUGAAACAGUCUGAAGGAUGCCGCAGACCUAAGCUGUAACCUCAUUUCAUAUGAACAUGAAGGAAUUCUGCUGCUUACACCAGUGAUUCCAAGGAUUUUGUCUGUGGAAGGCAGUAUGUUGAAAGUUUUUAAUUUUGGUGUAUUUCAUUGUAGUGG
rnacentral:lncRNA from 1 species